AUGGUUAUUCAGACUCAUCCCAAACAAACGGACUAAAAUCCAAGGAACCCCGCAAAUUUUGCAGCAGAAUGCAUGUAGUAAACAUUAAUUUUGAACCCUGCAAAUUCAUGUUUCAUUUUGUAGUAUGCAAGUAAACACAUGGAGCCACGCCCCAAAUUCAAGGACACUCAUGGCCUCUUGUUGCCAACACCAGUAGCAAUCCGUUACCAGAAUUAAUCUACAACUGAUGGUGUUUCAGGUCUCACCAAAAAUCCAUUCAGGUUAUUCGAUCAAUCAAUCCCGACAGAAGCAAAAUCGUGUGUACGACACCUCGCUCACUCAGCUACUACUGAGCAGCUCCCAUGGUGGCACCGCCCCGCCUCGCCAUGCGAACGCAAGCCUCGAACCUCUUGACCGCCUCGGCGCACUUGAGCGGGUCCUGCACGUUGCUCCUGUAGCACUCGGCGCAGCCCGCCCUCUCGUCGGUGCAUGGCGAGGGGUUCUGGUAGGGCAGCUUGAACUCCUUGUCAUGCAGCUCCUUGGCCCUCUUGGUAAGCUCCUCGCGCAUCGCCGCCUCCUUCUUCUGCAGCUUCUCCAGCACCUUCUCGCUCUCCGCCACCACGGCGCGUAUGGCUUCCACCACCUGGAUUGCAGGAGACGGUGGUGGAGGAGCAGGGGUCACUGGUAGGUACAUGGGUGGCGGAAAAGGCAAAACAGGAGCAGGGCUGCUCUUGGGUUCAGUUGGAACUUCCCUGCCAUUGUCCUGAGGCUCCUCUGGUUGCUCCACCACCUUCUUCGGCCUGGGUUUCCUGGUCCUCCUUUUCACCUGCUUCUCGUCAUCGCGCGCGAGCUGCUCGAUCAAGCUGGUGCUUAUCCGGAUUGUGUAGUCACCCAUGGCAGACAAGAAUCCUGAAACAGCAUCACGAGGAAAAGUGACGGAUUAACAGCAAGAUUUAAGAAGGUUAAUUCAAGCAAACAAAGGUCUCAAGCACGAUAAACAAAAUGAAUUGCUGGGCCCUAUACUGAAUGAAUGGUGUGCAUUAACAGCAUAAUCGCACAAAUCCUGAACACGCAAGCUUUCCAGUUCAAAAAUUGAAGGCCUCAUGGAUGCCUGUUAAAUAACAGAAUGAUUAAUAUCUGGGCUCUACACUGAAUAUUACAUUAACACAUGAGGGCAUGCCAUCCACAGUUGUAGAAUACUUUCCAGUUAAAAAGUCAAGGAUCUAUUAGCAUGGCCACAAUUUCAUUUGUCAAUCUUUUAUUAUAUCCUAAUAAAGAAUAAAGGAACAUGUACAAAGUAAAAAAAAACUGAUUUUUUGGAACAUUCAGGAAACAGCAGAGCUCCCGGCUGCUCUAACAGAACGCAAAUAUUAGCCCAUACUUACUGAGGGGUGCAUGAAUUUCUGAUUGGGAAAUAUACUGACUGAGUGCUUUUACUACUUAGUACUCCACCAUGGAAGGGAAAGGCGGCAAACAGUUCCAUCAGUAACAAACUGGAUGGAUGAAUGGAUUGGAGAUGAAGAAAUAUGCGGGCGAGUUUCAAAAGAAAUUUUCCUGGCCACCCCCUCUGGUAAUUUUGGCUAAGGGUUCAACCUACCUAGCCGGCCAGAUCACAAACUGUUGAGGUGCAUCUGAUUAAUUCAUAUUUUAUUCAAGUAUUUUGUAAAUAAUCCCACUCAAAUUAUGGGGGUAACAUUCUUUCUUUAAUCAAACAGACAAGCACAUCUUCGUAAAAUUCCUCUUAACAACAAAAUCGCACAACCAGUUCGAAUAUUGAAGACCUCAUGAAAGCAUGUUAAACAACAUAACAAAACAAAUAUCUGGGCUCUAAACUGAAUUCUACAUUGACAACAUGAGGGCAUCCACAGUUGCAGAGUACUUUUCAGUUAAAAGGUCAGGGAUCUAUUAGCAGGAUCCCUGAUGGUUGAGAUCCAUCUUUACCAUUGUGAAAGAUUGCAAAUUCUGUUCAGUUGUGGUACAUCCUUCACGUUUCCAAAACUGAAGGUGCUUACACUAGAGCAUUUAUUGGAUUUUGAGAGAUGGUGGGAAAUAAAUGAGAGACGCGAAGAACAGAUAAUAUUUCCUCUGCUUGAGACGUUGUUUAUUCGACAUUGUGGAAAGCUGAUAGCAUUACCUGAAGCACCAUUGCUUGGAGAACCAAGUCGUGGAGGUAAUAGACUGGUAUGCACGCCAUUUUCUCUGCUUGAAGCACCGCUGGUUCAUGAAAGUUGCAGUGGAGGUUAUAGAUUAGUACAGUCAGCAUUUCCUGCUCUAAAGGUACUUGCAUUGGAAGACUUGGAGAGUUUCCAGAAAUGGGAUGCAGCUGUCGAAGGAGAACCGAUAUUGUUUCCUCAGCUUGAGACACUAUCAGUCCAGAAAUGCCCAAAGCUAGUAGAUUUACCCGAAGCACCAAAUCUCAGUGUAUUAGAAAUUGUAGAUGGCAAGCAAGAGAUGUUCCAUUUUGUAGACACAUAUUUGUCUUCGUUGACCAAGUUGACACUGAGGCUAGAAAACACAGAAACAACAUCAGAGGUUGAAUGCACUACAAUUGUACCGGUGAACAGCAAGGAGAAAUGGAACCAAAAAUCCCCUCUUACACUUAUGAAGCUAAGAUGCUGCAACUCAUUCUUUGGACCAGGUGCACUAGAGCCGUGGGACUAUUUUGUACACCUUGAAAAGUUGGAAAUUGGUAGAUGUGAUGUGCUCGUCCACUGGCCAGAGAAUGUGUUCCAAAGCUUGGUAUCCUUGAAGAGAUUAGUGAUUAGAAACUGCGAAAAUCUGACUGGAUAUGCACAAGCUCCUCUUGAGCCUUUGGCAUCUGAAAGGAGUGAACGCCUGAGAGGUCUGGAGUCUCUUUGCUUAGACAGCUGCCCAAGUUUAGUAGAGAUGUUCAACGUCCCGGCAUCUCUCAAGAAAAUGGAUAUUGAUAGGUGCAUUAAGCUUGAGUCCAUAUUCAGCAAGCAGCAGGGCAUGGCAGAGUUAGUCCAAGUAUCUUCUAGCAGUGAGGCAGACGUGCCUACAGCUGUAUCAGAGUUGCCAUCCUCACCCAUGAAUCACUUUUGUCCAUGCCUAGAUCAUCUAACUUUAGUCCGAUGUGGAAGCUUACAAGCGGUUCUAAAUCUGUCUUUGUCCUUAAAGACCAUACUUAUUGCUGACUGCAGUAGCAUUCAAGUCCUAUCAUGCCAGCUGGGUGGGCUCUAGAAACCAGAAGCCACUACCUCCAUAAGCAGAAGUCCUAUCAUGCCAUAGCCACUAGCAGCAGCAACAGCACCAGCUGCAAGAGAGCAUUUACUUCCUCCCCAUCUCAAAUCUCUAACAAUACUGAACUGUGCUGGCAUGUUGGGUGGGACUCUCCGUCUGCCUGCACCCCUCAAGACACUGCGCAUUAUUGGCAACAGUGGGCUGACAUCGCUGGAGUGUCUGUCGGGAGAGCACCCCCCAUCGCUGGAAUCCCUUUGGCUUGAAAGAUGCAGUCAGUACCCUGGCAUCCCUGCCGAAUGAGCCGCAAGUAUACAGGUCUCUCAGGUAUCUUGAAAUUAGAGGCUGCCCUGCUAUAAAGAAGCUCCCUAGAUGCCUGCAGCAGCAACUGGGCAGCAUCAAUGACGAUUACAAAGAUCUAGAUGCUCGUUAUGAAGGUACGCACGUCUUUCUGUCUUUGCCCAUGUACCACGUCCGCACCUUUAUACAAGUUUAUUCUAACAUCAUUUGUGAUGUUUGCAGUAAUGGCAAUGAAACCGAAGACAUGGAAGCAAAUACCAAAACUGGUCCGUGAGCGGAGGCGGGCCGCUCGACAAGCCAGGGAAGGCCAGCAAUCCACCAUGCAGGAGUAAACAGGGCAGGAAAGCAUGCAUUCUUUUAGCUUCGAACAAUGUACUUGUAUGUUAUGUCAUGACUGGUUGAACGUUGACCUUUAGCUUGUUCAGAUUCAGAUACUUGUAAUGUGGAUUAAUUCAUCUCCUUUUGAACAUUUCCCGGGUUUAGUAGAAUUCGGGAUAUGUACUGAUGUUUGUGAGCUAUCUAUGUAUGCAUCAAGUAGCUAGGAAUAACAGUUAUUUGGUUGAGGAGACAUCGGCAUCAGAAACUUUGCAAACUCUGGUUUUUAUCAGCUUUGAUUUGAUGAUUUCAAUGAUUAGAUACUGGAGUAGUUAAUUACUGGGAGAUGCCAGAUCAUCCAUUUCCCAAGAGGAGGAAUGAAAGGUUCAACUCGUUGAGAACUGUCUUGAUGCUGUGAACUCUGCUCUGCUACCUGUGAUUGCUUGUAAAACUCAACUCUGGUGUAUGGCGAUCUGCUCUGGAUUUGGUUUUCUGCUGUGCUGGUGUAUGCAUCUACUAUCUAUCUAGCAAAUUUUAGCCGCUGUUACUUUGUUGACAGGACAUUUGCCUUUUAACUUGUUGAGAAGCUUUGUAAACUGCUGUCCGGUUUUAUCUGCUUCAAUCAAUACUUCAAUAGUGAUGGAAUGAUGGUUACCAAAUCAUCCUUCAACCUGUUGAGAAACCAACUUUCCAGCACUCUUUGGUCUGUAGACUCUGAAUUUCUGCUCUGCUAGAGUGCUAGGGGAAUGAAUGCUGGCUUGUGAUUGCUUCUACAACUCUACUCUACUGUACUGCACUGCCUGUGAUGUAAAUUUCUGCACCAAUCUGCUCAUCUUAUGCCCAUUUCCAUAACACUCAGACGUAUGCACAGCAGCAGCACUAAUGAUUCUUUUGAUCCAGCAAAAAAAUAAACUCGCUGUGGCUGAAGCUAGCUAAAUCAUGAUCUUUGCAAGAGCAAUGUUUUAUUUUGCGGCAGAAUGUAGUAUGCAAGUAACAAGGAAAACGACCUUGCAAGAGGAAACAGUUGGUUUGAUUACCUAAUAAUACUCAUCAAAACACAUCAUUAAUUCGCACCCGCAAUUCAUGUUUCAUAUUGCAGCAGAAUGUAGUAUGUAAGUAAGUAACAGGGAACCCCUAAAUUGAAGGACACUCGGGCCUUCGCCCAGUCCAGUGCAAUCCCUCGCCGGAAUCAAAUCUACAGCCGAUGGUGUUUCAGGUCUCACCAAAAAGUCCAGGCAGGUUAUUCAUUCA
rnacentral:lncRNA from 1 species